CUGCGGAGGGAUCAUUACCGAGUUAUACAACUCAUCAACCCUGUGAACAUACCUAAAACGUUGCUUCGGCGGGAACAGACGGCCCCGUAACACGGGCCGCCCCCGCCAGAGGACCCCUAACUCUGUUUUUAUAAUGUUUUUCUGAGUAAACAAGCAAAUAAAUUAAAACUUUCAACAACGGAUCUCUUGGCUCUGGCAUCGAUGAAGAACGCAGCGAAAUGCGAUAAGUAAUGUGAAUUGCAGAAUUCAGUGAAUCAUCGAAUCUUUGAACGCACAUUGCGCCCGCCAGUAUUCUGGCGGGCAUGCCUGUUCGAGCGUCAUUACAACCCUCAGGCCCCCGGGCCUGGCGUUGGGGAUCGGCGGAAGCCCCCUGCGGGCACACGCCGUCCCUCAAAUACAGUGGCGGUCCCGCCGCAGCUUCCAUUGCGUAGUAGCUAACACCUCGCAACUGGAGAGCGGCGCGGCCACGCCGUAAAACACCCAACUUCUGAAUGUUGACCUCGAAUCAGGUAGGAAUACCCGCUGAACUUAAGCAUAUCAAUAA
rnacentral:rRNA from 1 species